AACGCAAAUUGCACUCCCUGGCAUUCCGGGGAGUAUGCCUGUUUGAGGGUCGUUUUUAUAUUAAAUCGGUGUGUUGCUUUUGGUGACGCGUCGGGGUUGGGUCAUCUUGGCUUUCUUGGUCAAGAGGCCUGAAAUUGACGUUUUUUUGCGCAUACUAGACGUGUAAAUGUUUUUAUCUGUCUCGCUAUGCUCAAGAUCAUUUUCACUAGGUGCGGUCAUGUUAUGCUCUCGUGCCUAUGAUUCUCGUUUUUCGACCUCAAAUCAGGUAGGGAUACCCGCUGAACUUAA
rnacentral:misc_RNA from 1 species